AACGAACGCUGGCGGCAUGCCUAACACAUGCAAGUCGAACGAGACCUUCGGGUCUAGUGGCGAACGGGUGCGUAACGCGUGGGAACCUGCCCUUAGGUUCGGAAUAACUCCCCGAAAGGGGUGCUAAUACCGGAUAAUGUCUUCGGACCAAAGAUUUAUCGCCUUUGGAUGGGCCCGCGUUGGAUUAGCUAGUUGGUAGGGUAAAAGCCUACCAAGGCGACGAUCCAUAGCUGGUCUGAGAGGAUGAUCAGCCACACUGGGACUGAGACACGGCCCAGACUCCUACGGGAGGCAGCAGUGGGGAAUAUUGGACAAUGGGCGAAAGCCUGAUCCAGCAAUGCCGCGUGAGUGAUGAAGGCCUUAGGGUUGUAAAGCUCUUUUACCGGGGAUGAUAAUGACAGUACCGGGAGAAUAAGCUCCGGCUAACUCCGUG
rnacentral:rRNA from 1 species